rnacentral:rRNA from 1 species
UGACCGCUGGCGGUCGGCCUAACACAUGCAAGUCGAACGGCAGCACAGUAAGAGCUUGCUCUUACGGGUGGCGAGUGGCGGACGGGUGAGGAAUACAUCGGAAUCUACUUUUUCGUGGGGGAUAACGUAGGGAAACUUACGCUAAUACCGCAUACGACCUACGGGUGAAAGCAGGGGAUCUUCGGACCUUGCGCGAUUGAAUGAGCCGAUGUCGGAUUAGCUAGUUGGCGGGGUAAAGGCCCACCAAGGCGACGAUCCGUAGCUGGUCUGAGAGGAUGAUCAGCCACACUGGAACUGAGACACGGUCCAGACUCCUACGGGAGGCAGCAGUGGGGAAUAUUGGACAAUGGGCGCAAGCCUGAUCCAGCCAUACCGCGUGGGUGAAGAAGGCCUUCGGGUUGUAAAGCCCUUUUGUUGGGAAAGAAAAGCAGCAGGUUAAUACCCCGCUGUUCUGACGGUACCCAAAGAAUAAGCACCGGCUAACUUCGUG